UUUAUUAUCGCACAUCAUAUUCUGUUUAGCAUAGUUUAGUGUUGACUAUAAUAAUAUUAUAAAUAAUUUGUGUUCUAAUAACUGAUAUUACAUUCAGAUUUCAGACUCAUAUAUUUUUACAAUAUAAGAAAGAUAAUGUAAAAAUAAACAAAGAAAAGGGGACGGAGUGUCCGAGCGGUCUAAGGCGUCGGUUGCGACACAGCCGGAGCCGGUUCGAUUCCUUGGUCAUGGGCGGCAUUUUUCUUCGGGCAAGUCAUGGUGUCCGGAGAGUAAGUGCCACCAUCACCCACCCGGGCAUGGCAGAUACCUAUGGGUGCCCAAUCAAAAAUUCUGUCAAACACAAACACUCACGUGUAAAAACCCACCACUUCAAAACCCUACCACCACCACAAUACAACCCUACUAACCAGCUAAUGGCCAUAGAUGCCGGGCUUAAGAAUCAAUAAAAAAAAAAAAUAUAUUAACUAUAUAUGUAUAUUGUAUAUUAUGUUUUUGUGGAAUAUUAAUUUAGAUAUAUUUUAAUAUUGAUUUCAUUGUUAAUAUAUUUAUCAAAAUGUAUUAUAGAUAAUAUUAAUUUGUA